UUGAUUGAAACCAAAAAAUGAGGUAAAUUAUUGUUAAUAAUUUAAAUGGAUUAUUCCCAAUCAAA
rnacentral:tRNA from 1 species